rnacentral:rRNA from 1 species
GGAGGAUGCAAGCGUUAUCCGGAAUUAUUGGGCGUAAAGCGUCCGCAGGUGGUGUUUCAAGUCUGCUGUCAAAGACCGAAGCUUAACUUCGGGCAGGCGGUGGAAACUGAAAGACUAGAGUACGGUAGGGGUAGAGGGAAUUUCCAGUGUAGCGGUGAAAUGCGUAGAGAUUGGAAAGAACACCAGUGGCGAAGGCGCUCUACUGGACCGUAACUGACACUCAGGGACGAAAGCUAGGGUAGCGAAAGGGAUUAGAUACCCCUGUAGUCCUAGCCGUAAACGAUGGAUACUAGGCGUUGCUUGUAUCGACCCGAGCAGUGCCGUAGCCAACGCGUUAAGUAUCCCGCCUGGGGAGUACGCACGCAAGUGUG